UGCAAGUCGAGCGGAUGAGAAGAGCUUGCUCUUCGAUUCAGCGGCGGACGGGUGAGUAAUGCCUAGGAAUAUGCAGAGAACGGUUAAUGGCUCACGAGGUUCUAGAACUUUUGGAGGUUCUAGAACAUGCCUGGUAGUGGGGGACAACGUUUCGAAAGGAACGCUAAUACCGCAUACGUCCUACGGGGGAACCUUCGGGCCUUGCGCUAUCAAAUGGUUUGUUAGAUGAGCCUAGGUCGGAUUAGCUAGUUGGUGAGGCAAGGGGGACGAUCCGUAACUGGUCUGAGAGGAUGAUCAGUCACACUGGAACUGAGACACGGUCCAGACUCCUACGGGAGGCAGCAGUGGGGAAUAUUGGACAAUGGGCGAAAGCCUGAUCCAGCCAUGCCGCGUGUGUGAAGAAGGUGGUCGGAUUCAGGAUGUAAAGCACUUUAAGUUGGGAGGAAGGGCAUUAACCUAAUACGUUAGUGACGUUACCGAAAAAAUAAGCACCGGCUAACUCUGUGCCAGCAGCCGCGGUAAUACAGAGGGUGCAAGCGUUAAUCGGAAUUACUGGGCGUAAAAUUACAAGUUGAAUGUGAAAGCCCCGGGCUCAACCUGGGAACUGCAUCCAAAACUGGCAAGCUAGAGUACGGUAGAGGGUGGUGGAAUUUCCUGUGUAGCGGUGAAAUGCGUAGAUAUAGGAAGGAACACCAGUGGCCCCGCACAAGCGGUGAAGGCGACCACCUGGACUGAUACUGACACUGAGGGUUAUGGUGGAAAAGUUAAGUGGGUUUGCGAAAGCGUGGGGAGCAAAUAGAUACCCUGGUAGUCCACGCCGUAAACGAUGUCAACUAGCCGGUCCAGAGAGGUUCUAGAACGUUGGAAUCCUUGAGAUUUUAGUGGCGGGGCUAAAGCAUUAAGUUGACCGCCUGGGGAGUACGGCCGCAAGGUUAAAACUCAAAUGAAUUGACGGGGGGGAGCAUGUGGUUUAAUUCGAAGCAACGCGAAGAACCUUACCAGGCCUUGACAUGCAGGAUGGAUUGGUGCCUUCGGGAACUCUGACACAGGUGCUGCAUGGCUGUCGUCAGCUCGUGUCGUGAGAUGUUGGGUUAAGUCCCGUAACGAGCGCAACCCUUGUCCUUAGUUACCAGCACGCACCCCAAGGAGACUGCCGGUGACAAACCGGAGGAAGGUGGGGAUGACGUCAAGUCAUCAUGGCCCUUACGGCCUGCCCUACACACGUGCUACAAUGGUCGGUACAGAGGGUUGCCAAGCCGCCACAAAACCGAUCGUAGUCCGGAUCGCAGUCUGCAACUCGACUGCGUGAAGUCGGAAUCGCUAGUAAUCGCGAAUCAGAAUGUCGCGGUGAAUACGUUCCCGGGCCUUGUACACACCGCCCGUCACACCAUGGGGCACCAGAAGUAGCUAGUCUAACCUUCGGGAGGACGGUUACCACGGUGUGAUUCAUGACUGGGGUGAAGGUAGAGGGUUGGAACUA
rnacentral:rRNA from 1 species